CCGAUGGAAAUCCUAGAAAAAAAGCUAUAUAAACUCAUUCAGCAGCUCAUUUCUCCAAAAUUUCAAAUUUUCAAAUUCUAGCCGUUCGAGAGCUCUCCCUCAUUUCUCUCUCAUUUCUUCCAAGCAAACCCUAAAACCGCAGCUCCUCUCUCCACAUUUUCUCAAACCCUAACCUCCGUCUCUGCAAACCAAACCUUAAUCCUCCAUCAUCAACCCCAUACGAUCUCGCAGCCAUGGAUUUGCUGCAACACCAGAAGGGUAGCAGCACCGAUCUUGGUGCCGACGCACUCAGAGGUAAACUUCUCGCCCUCCCUUGUCGAUUCAUGCACUCAGGUUCACCGAUUGAAAUAUACCAUACAAGAAAAAUCUUAAAAUCCUAAUGCUUGUGUUGUUUCUUUUGCAUGGACCUGAGAUCCGUUAAAAAAAAAGACGAUGGAACACAGGAAAUCGCAGAUCCAUCAUUUUUGAAAGCAGGCAUCAAGGGCAAACGGACCUGAGUUGUGAGGCUCAGAUCCACUACAUGGAAGUAAGAGAAAAAUGGAAAUGAACUCUUGGACCAAACUGGAUUAAGCAAUGUGGACCCUUCUGCACUCGGACCCGAACUUUAGAAAAUGUAUUAGGAAUUUCGAAAUGGUCUGUAAUUAAUUCAUGGGGUGGGAGUGAGUGGGUCUGAGUGCAGAAGCUUCAUCAGAAUCGCCAUGGUAUGAUCUCUGAAAACCCCGCUUGUUAACUGAUGUGUGCUGUGACUGCUUAGAAACAUGCUUAGGGUUAUAUCUGUUAGAUGUGCAUGAUUAGGGAUGGCCUUAGAAACUUAGUCAUGUAAUGAUAGGUUAGGACCUCAUAUCUGCUCGUUUGCUUUGGAUUUCCGCCUUUCUGCCAUAUGAUACUAGUAGAACUGCUGUGGUUGAUGUCAAUGUAGAAUUGCUGCUGGAUGCAGGAUCCAGCCCUAUAUUAUCCGUCCGGGGCGAUCUCGUUUACCUUGCAUGUUUUGAAAUCAACCUGCAUAUUCACCAAUUUUUGCAUCAGAAGCAUGUUUCACAAACCCUUUUCCAAUCAAGAUUUAUUUCUGCAAGCAAAUAUGCAGGUUAAAAAUUGUAACACGGAUUUUGAAAUCUACAAGUAAAAUAUGAAAGAGAAAUUAAAAAAAACAAAAAACAAAAUGUUUUUGGAUUUUUCAAAUAUUGACUUUUUUUCGUAAAGAGUUUGACG